rnacentral:sRNA from 1 species
AUGAAAGCCCUGGAGAUGGAAGGCCUCAAUUUAUCCACAGAACAGGUACAGCAAAGGCAGUAGCAGCACAAUCUUUCUACAAUAGCACUCGUCAGUGUAGAUAGAAAGACCAGCUCGAGGGAUGAGAGGGUACUUUAAUCUCCAUGCUGAUUCAAAUUCUUGGCCUCG